rnacentral:rRNA from 1 species
UGAACUGGGUGACUAGAGUGUGUCAGAGGGAGGUAGAAUUCCACGUGUAGCAGUGAAAUGCGUAGAGAUGUGGAGGAAUACCGAUGGCGAAGGCAGCCUCCUGGGAUAACACUGACGUUCAUGCCCGAAAGCGUGGGUAGCAAACAGGAUUAGAUACCCUGGUAGUCCACGCCCUAAACGAUGUCGAUUAGCUGUUGGGCAGCAUGACUGCUUAGUAGCGAAGCUAACGCGUGAAAUCGACCGCCUGGGGAGUACGGUCGCAAGAUUAAAACUCAAAGGAAUUGACGGGGACCCGCACAAGCGGUGGAUGAUGUGGAUUAAUUCGAUGCAACGCGAAGAACCUUACCUGGUCUUGACAUGUACGGAAUCCUCCAGAGACGGAGGAGUGCCUUCGGGAGCCGUAACACAGGUGCUGCAUGGCUGUCGUCAGCUCGUGUCGUGAGAUGUUGGGUUAAGUCCCGCAACGAGCGCAACCCUUGUCAUUAGUUGCCAUCAUUAAGUUGGGCACUCUAAUGAGACUGCCGGUGACAAGCCGGAGGAAGGUGGGGAUGACGUCAAGUCCUCAUGGCCCUUAUGACCAGGGCUUCACACGUCAUACAAUGGUCGGUACAGAGGGUAGCCAAGCCGCGAGGCGGAGCCAAUCUCACAAAACCGAUCGUAGUCCGGAUUGCACUCUGCAACUCGAGUGCAUGAAGUCGGAAUCGCUAGUAAUCGCAGGUCAGCAUACUGCGGUGAAUACGUUCCCGGGUCUUGUACACACC